rnacentral:rRNA from 1 species
UGGGGAAUUUUGGACAAUGGGCGCAAGCCUGAUCCAGCCAUGCCGCGUGUGGGAAGAAGGCCUUAGGGUUGUAAAAUCCUUUCGUGGGGGACGAUAAUGACGGUACCCCAAGAAGAAGCUCCGGCUAACUUCGUGCCAGCAGCCGCGGUAAUACGAAGGGGGCUAGCGUUGUUCGGAUUUACUGGGCGUAAAGCGCGUGUAGGCGGGUCGUUAAGUUGGGGGUGAAAUCCCGAGGCUCAACCUCGGAACUGCCUUCAAAACUGGCGACCUGGACUCAAGCAGAGGCAAGUGGAAUUGCGAGUGUAGAGGUGAAAUUCGUAGAUAUUCGCAGGAACACCAGUGGCGAAGGCGACUUGCUGGGCUUGUAGUGACGCUGAGACGCGAAAGCGUGGGGAGCAAACAGGAUUAGAUACCCCCGUAGUCCCUGAGCGGGCUGGCAAGGCGCAU